CCCAGCCGCUCAUCCCUGCUCUGGUUUCGUCUUCCUCGAGCCCAGCUGCUGGGAUACUAGGCCGUGCCGCCGCACCCGCACGAUCUCCUACCCGCCGCCGCUUCGUGCCCCAUGGAAGGACUUGGUUGAGGUGCGCUGCUUUCUUUUUAGGGAUUUCUUCUCCAGUUUUUUGUGUCCUGAUUUUGUGCCUCCUUCGGAAGCAGUUGUUCCUCGCACCGACCUAGAUCACUGCCUAGGUCGAUGCUUCAAUCGUACAUGAUUCAUGUGAUUUGUCCGUUGAAGAAGAGGCGCAGGGCUGCAGAUGCCAGGGCGUGAGAGCCGCCGCCGACGGUGGCGAUAGGAGCACGCGAUGGGAACGGGCACACCCACGCCGGCCGAGCUCCACCCCAUCCAGCCCACCCCUCUUCGUCGUGCACGGCGGAACGAGGGCGACUUCAUUGAUGGUCUGCAAUCCCGGCGAGUUGAGAGCCAGCGGUUGCUACGUUGGCGUCCUGCACCCUCCUCCCUCACGCUGGUCUACAGCGGUUUGCGACCAAGGGGUUCCAUGGCAGCCGACGGGGAUGUAUUACCGAGAUUUUUAGACCAACGGUGAGACAUCACCAGCUGGUUUUGGUUGGAGAGACACAACGGCAUGUGCUGCAGGUGCAGGUCGGGGAGUCAUCCUGCUCCUCGAAGCUGUUGUGCUGCCUCUUAGCACGACUGCUGGCCAUCAGCUAAAGAUGAUUGCAGUGGGUAUAUUCACUAAUUAGCAACGGAUAGAGAAAAACAUCUUCACGUGCCAGUGUGUCGCCUUGUUGCAAAUAACCACCUGGAGUUCAUCACUAAGAAUGUAUUGCCUCAUACUUUCUAUUGACUGCUUUGUCUGCACUAACUUCUGUAUACAGCUCAUACAUUACAUGUUAAUCUACAGAGGAACUUGUUUAGAAAUUUUGUAGUGAAUAAUGGAAGAGGUACCAAAUGAAUUUUAAA